UACGGGGGGGGCAAGCGUUGUUCGGAAUUACUGGGCGUAAAGGGCUCGUAGGCGGCCAACUAAGUCAGACGUGAAAUCCCUCGGCUUAACCGGGGAACGGCAUCUGAUACUGGAUGGCUGGAGUUCGGGAGAGGGAUGCGGAAUUCCAGGUGUAGCGGUGAAAUGCGUAGAUAUCUGGAGGAACACCGGUGGCGAAGGCGGCAUCCUGGACCGACACUGACGCUGAGGAGCGAAAGCCAGGGGAGCAAACGGG
rnacentral:rRNA from 1 species